GGCUUGUGGCUCAGUGGUAGAACAUUUGCUUCACAUGUAUGAGGUGCUGGGUUCAAUCCUCAGCACCA
rnacentral:tRNA from 1 species